CCAGGGCCUUGCGCUUCCUAGGUAAGCGCUCUACCACUGAGCUAAAUCCCCAGCCCCUUGUUUCUAUUAUUUUGACAGAGCUACAUCCACAGGCCCAGAAAUAAUUGCUUCACGAAUAUUGAACCAACCCUGCAUUCUGAUUAUAUAUAUAUAUUUCUCUACUAAAGAUCAGUUGCACUAUUAAUAAAACCAACCUGAUUCAAGUAAUAAUACCUAGAAUAAACACUUGAAACAUCUCAGUACUGACAAAUGGUAUAAGGCUGGUUUCACUGUUUUCCCUAACCCAUGGGCCUAGGUUCAAACCAAUGGCCCAAGAACCCUCUUUGUGUGUAAGCCAACUUUCUUAAAUAAGUGAAGCCACCACCCUUCAAAAACAAAACCACAAACAAACAGAAUGACCCAAGCUCUCUUUACAGCAAACAGACCAACACAGAAAACCACACGUGGACACACUGCAUAUACCAAUCGCUCAAGGGGAGCCCAGCCCCAAGGCACAUCACAGUUCCAGCACCUAUGGCUCAGGGAACAUUGCAGAAGAGAGGGCAGAAAGAAUGUAAGAACCAGAACACCAGGAAGUUGUCUGUGAAGCAGCCUUUUCUAGAACUGGGUGCAUCUACAAGAUGGAAAAAAAUAGCAACAUCAGUAGGCAUGUCCGAUAUCAAUAGGCAUGUUCAACAUCAAUAGGCAUGUUCAACAUCAAUAGGCAUGUUCAACAUCAAUAGGCAUGUUCAACACCAAUAGGUGUGUUUGACAUCAAUAGGCGUAUUUGACAUCAAUGGGCAUGUUCAACAUCAAUAGGCAUGUUCGAUAGCAACAUCAAUAGGCAUGUUCGACAUCAAUAGGCAUGUUCAAUAACAAUAGGCAUGCUUAUGUAGAAGGGAACGUUUCACAGGGCUAUUAACUAAGAGUGGGGAUAUAUAGGAUGUUGAGGGGAACUGGGAGGAGCUGUAUAGAGGAAAGACAGGAGAAAGUGAUGUAUCUGCCUCAGUUAAAACUAAAUUCUGGGAGAAAUAAUCUAGGACUACAUGGAUUCCAACACUGCACUAGUGGACAGAGUAGAACCUGUUAAGUGGUGGAAUUUGAAAUGUGUCAAGACAACACUCCAGUUGACUUUUGGAAAUGUCAUAGUCAGUGAAUCAAGGGAGGUGCUGGCUACAAUUUGUGUCAUAUCACAGGGUAAAUAUCUAGGAAAUAAAGCUUUAAAUGUGAAACCAAGUAAAAGCUUUAGGGGUAUAUAGGUAAGAUGUAUUGAAAACCAUAAUGGGAUCCAGGUGUGCACCGGUAGCCCCAGCCUUUAAGGGGGUGGGGCAACACCACCAACUUGAGGCGCACUUGAGUGAGGCUGUUAGAAAACUACAAGACUGUAGUAGGAAAGAUCUGUCUGUCUCUGAGUCACAUUCUAAAAUCUAGAGAGAAAAUAACAAUAAAAUCAAAUGCAUCCAUUAAAAAAAGAAAAACCUAAAGCAUUGGCUGAGAAUUACCACAAGCAAAAUCUAAAGAUCGAAAUCUGGCUUUAAAAAUGCUAACUAUAAUAUUCAAUACCACAGUAGGUCUCAGAAUUCUAGAGAAAAGCAACCAGUAAUGGCUUUGCUAUGGGAGAAGAACACAGACGAACUUAAAACUGGCCCUUCAAGAUUUGUGCCUUUGACAAGAAACCAAGUCCUUAAACUACAGUAAGGUUACAUUUGUCAUUUAUCAUGUUGGCAAAAGUAUAGCACAUACUCUUCUGGUAAGACAAUGGAAAUAAACGAUUAGUCUCAUAGAUGACUAGAAAGAGACAGAGUGCCCCAAACCCCAUGGAAGACCCUGGGAGAGCAGCCACAUCUAGCAACAUUGUGUCAACAUCACCUCUACUCUUGUGUUUUGGUUAUAAGCUUUGCUUUCAAAGGCUGAGCUGUCUCUCCGGCCCCACAUUUAGUCUUUAAGCCAGCUAUAGUUUGUCUCUGAAUCUAGCCAUUACUUAUCCCUGAACAUGUGCAAAACAGACUAUCAGCAGGGUGUUUCAUACACGACAAUUUGCAGCAGAAGAUACUGGAAAUUACAGAAGACUUCAGCAAAUAGAUUCCACUUGAGUAGAAUCUAAUACACUCCUAUGGUUAAAUACUCCAUCGCUGUCAAGAAAAAUGACAACACAUUUAUGUCCUCCUAGAGAAAGCUCUGUAUUAGAUGAGGAAAGCAAGAUGCUUAAUAGAAGACUAAAGACGGGCAUACAAUUUAUAUUUGCCUAACAAAAGAAUGUAAGGCAAACAGAGAAUAAAAGUGUACAGGGGGUGAUGAAGGAAGGUAGUAAAUUGGACAAAGAAAAGGGAAAAUUUUAGUGUGGGCAAUAGCUUUCUGUCACUAUAACAAAAUACCUGAAUCUGAGUGGGUACUUUAUAAAGAAAAGAGAUUGGUUUAGUUCAAGUUUUGGAUGUUGUGCUAGCAUAGUUUUGCUGGCAUUUAGUCCACUCCAGUGAGACUCUCAUCAUGGUGGGGCCCCACGCAAGAAGAGAUCAUAAUGCAAUUUAAGAAGUCACAGGAAAAAUGGGGCAGUAAUAACCCCCUACUGGGCUCAACCUCUUAAAAGAUCACACCAUGCCUUAGCAUUACUACUCUGGAGACUAAGAACUUAACAUGCUGACCUCUGGGGAACAAACCCCAUCCAAAUCACCACAGUGUGAUGACUUUCUUUCAUUUUAAUUUGGGGCUUUAUUUAAAGGAAGCUUUCUGGAAAAAAAAUAAACUCAUUUCCCUGGGAAGUAAAAUGUUGCAACUUAGUAAAAUGAAGAAAGCUUUGGUCCUAGUGAACGCGGUCCUGUGAGACACUGCAUGAAGAAAUUUCACCUUCAUGGGAAGGUGGGGUGGGAGAGAGUAGACAGAAGAGAGGAGAGAGGUGGGGCUUCAAUAGGGAAGGUGGCGCUCUCCAGGGUGCUCACAGGGGCGGUGCCCAGGCACCAAGUCAAGGAAAACAGCCAGGACAUCAGCCCAGUUUAUCCUGGCAGGAGCAUGGCUGCAUUCCACUCAUUGUCUUGGUUCCCUCUGGUAGCUCAUCAGCCAGGGAACUGAGGCCUUGCAGCUUCCCCCACGUGAAGGCCUCCAGACCCAUUAGCAAUACCUUCCACUGCUUUCCUUGAAACACUCUUCUAUAAUUACUUUUCUUUCUCAGGAAGACUGGCCCACUGGCCCUGACCUAAAUUUGGGUUUCCUGAUUCCAUUCCCUUCUUAUGGAAAGAGCUUAGAGUCUUCAUCAAGCCCCACCUCUGUUGAUUUCCAAAGAGACAAAGGCUCUUUUUUGAUUAAUUAACUUUAAAAUCUUGUAUGUGAGCAUACCCUUUCUCUAUUCUCCCCGUGUCCCCCUAGGCAAUUGCAGUUCCUUCGUUUUAUACAUACACAAGCUUUAUGGGUCUAUAUAAAACUUGAGGAACUACAGAUGAGAGAAAGCAUACAAUAUUUGUCUUUCUGAGGCUGGCUUAGUUUAAUCUUCAGCUGUGCCCAUUUCCUGCAAACAUUACUUGGUUCUCCAUCAUGGCUGACAAGUAUUCUUCUGUGUGCAUACAUAAUGAAUGCAAACAUGAAGAUCAGUUAGCCUCUGGCCUGAGUUUCUUUGAGGCCAAACCCAUAAUGUCAUGUCUUCUUUCUGCGUUCCUCUGUUGCUGGGUGUCUGGGUUAGUUCCAGAACCUAGCUACAGUGAACAAUCUCAACAGUAGUAUCACUGUAGUAUACUCCAUCUCUGUGGUAAGUUGACUGAAAGCCCGUCGGAACUAGACCUCGUGAAGGCUUUGGUUUGUUGAGAAACUGUUUUGCCCUUUUGAGACAGAGGAUCAUGUGUCCCAAGGAAACCCAAGCAGGUGGUGAUUCUGAAGUAACUUGUCACCCCAGAGCUCAUGCCAGCCAUGGGUACAAAUCUUCAAGUGUCCCCCUUGAAGCUGGGAAGCUGGGUCAGCGAGGCUACUCACAUACUGAUCUUUGCAGGCAUCAAGACACGAAGAUCGCCACUUCUGGCCUUCUCCUUCAGCUCUGACCCCAGGAUUAUCCUUCAGUAAACUGUAUCCUCUACUACACACAGCAGAGAACAGUGAUGUUGGUGUCGACAAAACAUACAUCUGUUUCAGGGCCAGGACAUAUUCCCCCAGGGCCCCAUACAAUGAUGCUUGCCUUGUUGCAGAUUCUGUAGCAGAGAGGAUAAGGGGACAUUAAAGGACAGUUAUCCUCAAAUGCUAUCCACACAGGAGCAUGCAGAGAAAAAUACUAAAAAUAAGCAUGCCAGCUAAGUGUGGAAGGCCACACUGCUUUGCAGCUGGCAAGGCUUACUCCUCAAAGGGCUGUGGACAAGCAGUGUCAGCAUGACCAGCAAGUUUCCAAAAAGUGCAGAGUCCCAGGUCCUAGCCCACACUGGCAAACCCAGAUUCUGUAUUUUAACAAGAUCCCGUUGAUUGAUAUGUACACUCAAAUUCACCAAAUGCCAGCAGAUAUAAGUGAGAUGCUACCACACUCUUGCCUGCACCAGCCCUUAGAUGUUUCCUGGUGUUGUUGGGUCUUAAUCCACACUAGUGUGUACACCAUGGCUGGUCCUCCCUGGGAGCCAUUGAAAGGAGAGUGUGGGAUGAAUCUCUCUUCUUAAUCAACUUGACUGUUGAGUUUGCAUGAAGCAAAAGUCUAGUGAGCAAUUCAAAACAGAGAGCCUUAGCUUUAAAACCCCAACCACAGUUAGAGACACUUCCUAAAAGAGAAGAGGGAGGCUCAACUCUCACCUCUUAAACUCAAGAUUUAGUCCUUAUAGUCCCAUCUACUCCCCAAAACAUGGGAGUGGGGCACCCCCAUUCAAAGAAGGAAUUCACCCAGACUUUCUUCCUUGUAGCCAAUUCUAUAUUUUCACCCUGAAGCUAUGGGUUCAGCUGGACUAGUUCAGCUCCUGGGGUCUGUAGGCCUUUGUAGUGGUGACAAAGACAGCACUUCCUGAUAUAUGAGUUCUCCACUUUUGCACUGAUGUGAGCCAAAAACAGGUAAGUUGCUCUAGAAGACUCAUUAGUUAGUGAGUUCGAGGCCAACCUGAGCUGUAUGGUAAGAGUCAAGGGUCCAAGAGUUGAGAAUAUAGCUCAGAGUGUGGGCACCCUGAUCUUCAGAACUGACAGAGACUUGCUUGUCUUGGAAAGACAACUCUGUACAUAUGAUCCAAGCAGUGUGGAGCUAGACUCCCUGGGUUCGAAUCCUACUUAACGUAGAUCAGAAACCAGGAUGCACUGGCUGUAAGUACUUAGCAUCAUUAUGUAGGAUGAAAUAAUUUCUAGAAACCCAUCAGAAUGCCAGCACCUUGGCGUUAAAGAGUAUUUUGAACUGAUUAUCUGGGAACUUGAGACAGGCCGACUGCAGAGAAAGCCAUUCGUAUGCUUGAAGCACACCAAGAGCAUUUGCCGUGGGCAUGAAAAGGGCAAGCCAAGACUUCCUGUUGCUGCUUCUUCAGCCUUCAGCUCUUGGUUCCCUGUGUAGGGGCAUCCGUUGCCCCCAUGCAGGCGCACGCAUUGCUCUCACGGAGGUGCAUGCUUCGCGUGUGGGGGUAUGGCUCCGCCUUGUUGCCAUUCCCCUUUGCUUCUACCCACUCUUUUAGGUGAAUGCCAUCUAGUUCUUUUUCUAUUGCAGAGCAAGCUGCCUUCAUCAAACUCUUUCCUUGCAGUGAGGAUGGACUGCAGGAGUCAGCAUGAAAUGAUUUCCGUACAAUUGAAGAGCUUCAGGAUAUAAGCAAGAAAUCAAAGAGCCAUAUGCAAGUGGAGAAUUUUAGCACUGACAUCUCUCUUUUUAAAGAUAUGCUAAUUGUAAUAAGGUCUUUUUUUUAAAUCAAAGGGUACUUAAAAUAGCUCCCAGCAAAUCUGAGGGUUUGCGAACAAUACUCUUGGUAUUCUAUCUGGUGAGUCAGCUCCUGGGUGACACUCUGCGCUGGGUGUCAUCAGGCGUGACUCUGGGGAUUAGUGCCAAGAGGGUUAAUGUGGUUCAAGUGCUAAGAAGACAGGUCCCCUAUUUUACAGAGUGCUGAAGCAUUUAUGUGGGGAUUUAGAAUACUUUCAGGUGUUCUAUGAAACUCACAAAGUUAUUUUUAAUUCUUCUUAAAGUAGUAGAGAUUCUUAACAAAAGUUUAUCUUAGAGAAGUAAAGAAAGAGCUGUUCACGUUAUAUAGUAUUGAGAACACUGAGAAAGACCACUUAUUCAUUAUUUAUAUGAUACUAACAGCUAACUUUAAAAGCCUUGAUUUUCUUCCAUCAAUAACAUUGUGCAUAAAAACCCAUAUUUUGCUGGUAAGGUUAAAUGAGAUAACAUAUAUGGGACACUUAACAGCAUGCCUUCGUUGCUAUUACAAAUGCCAUAAAGCACAUAGUCAAUAACUGUUCAAUAAAGCUUAGCAUACUCAAGCGAUCCAACUUUUGAGUCUAUGAGCCUUCUCCCUGCCUACAUUGAGCGUCCAUCACCAGGAGUAUGUUUACAUUCAGAGCACCUAGGGCAUGAUAAGAGCUCAAUAAAGUAUAAGAGUCUUUGUUAUUUCUACCAGAUGAACAUGCUAAUUCAUUCAUCAAAUAUUUUGAAAGCAUUUAGGCAUCUCAGUGAUUUGAGGGAAACUAAGGUAGAUUGUCAAAGUUUAGUUAUUUCGGAUAGGAGGAACAUGGCCUUGAAUCAAGGCAGCUGUGUUCACAAGACGUUCCCAAGGUCUAGCCUAUUAACUCCCCAGUAGUAGAGGUAGGGAGACUCAUGAACCAUAUAAGGCUCCCAGAGACAGAGCUCACAGACCCUCCUGGGAUCCACACAAGACCCUUCCCAUUUCUGAAGUUAUAUAAGAUUUAAACAGUUGACUAGGUUAGAAUGCUUUAGUACAAUAGCUAAUGGAAGGGUCCAAGAAUUACUGAAAACCCUAGACUCAAAUAAUAGGCAAAGACAAAGAAAGUUUAUUCUUCAGAAACAGACAGCAUGCAGGGGUCAACCUCGAGGGAAGCCCACAGGCCCCUUUUAAAACCACUUAGGGAUUCUAUAGUUGUGGUUGGGCUUGUGGUGAUAUUUGUACACUUCUGAUUGGUUCAUACCUCGAGGGAGAGAGGAUUACCUUAGAGGGACUUUUCCUAUAUCUGGUGUAAGCUCCUGGCCAGAUGUCAGGGCAGCUGUUGAUUGGUUGCCCUUUUUCUGCAGUUCUUCCAAGAAGCCUGAACUGUCCUUCUGGGAAAUUGAUGCUUAAGUCCUAACAUGGCUCUCUGUUCUAAAAUGAAGUGAGUUAGGUCCUCUUGCUAACUAAGUCACCUGGGGGAUUUUUUUUCAGUGGUCCUGAAGCAUUGUGUUCUAGGUAGGACUCUUUAGCAUAUGCAAGUUCCCCAGAAGACUUCCAAGAAUAUAGCUGCAUUCGAAUUCCCCGUGUUUCUAGGACCAACUCAUUUCUUCAUCAAGUUGGACUUGAAUAGAAUCCUGUCUUUGAUCUGGCAGUGUACUUUGUGUUUAGGAUGAAUAAGCAUUUCUUUAUGACUCUUUAGCCACACAACAAAGAUGUAGUCACUUAUUGAUGUAUAGAUUCAAUUGGUUUGAGGUGAGCUGAAAGUGAGCAGAGAGAUAGGCUAAGAGUUUGAAUUUCAAUAAGAGGUAGAUCAUGGUACUAGGACAGUCCAGGGGUGUUAAAAUUUAGAAAUAGACAACAAAUCAGGGAUUGUAGUUUUCAGAACUUAGAGAUAUUUAUCAGAUAUCCAAGUAGCAGGUCAUAGAGGCAGAGGCAGUUAACAUAUAAAAUAUUUACAUGAGUGUACAUAGAGCUUGACAAAUAAGUGAUGAAUAAAUACUGAAUGAAAAAAUGUAUAGAAAAAACAAGCAAGACCUGCCUUGAGAGCUUAGGGGCUUCAACUCUCAGAACUUGGAGAACCACAAGUGGUCAAGUAAAAGUCCCAGACAUCUUAUUUUGAACCUAUGGCUUUGUAAUUUCACAAUAUGCAUGUCUUAAGCGUGACCCUCAGCCAGUCUGAUCCUUUAAGUAGCAAGCUGCCUGCUUGUUUUCUAGGGCACAUCUCUCCUUUGACUUAAAGACAAGCACAGUUAUCUGAAAGGUGGCUCAGAAGCAAAUGUCAGCCACAUCCUGACUCUUGUCUUGUCUAGACAGCACCUACAUGUGGGGACCAUGAACAAGCACAGAGGGACGCUGAGAACGAGGAAGAGAAGUCAAUGCAUGGGGUUCAUGUCCACUGGUGUGAUCUGAAGCAUGGUUGUGGUUGCCACCAUCAAAGUGCUGUGUGAAGGAUGGAAAUGGGCAUUAGACAACAUAAUAUCACCAGGAGAGUGUAACUUAAAAUCUGUUGUGUGUCACGCACUGUCUUUAAAACUCUGGUGUGGGAGGGCCCCUUUGGUGGAGGAAAAGCAGCUGUAGACUGCAAUAGACCCCAUCAAAUUUCCCCUUGAGUUUGUGACUCCGCUUCAUCUUUGCUUGGUAAGAAUAUAUUUUUAAUGUAUUUAUUAUUUAUUUCUUUACUCACCAGCCUUGUAAUCAAAGCUGACUGCAACACCCAUCUUUGGGUAUAACCACAAAUGUUUAGAAGGUAGUAUGAUGGGGACAGCAUGUCUACUUGGUAAUAACAAGAGUAAUAGCUUCCCCCUGAGAACCAUGACCUGCCAAACAAUGAGACUUUGACCAAGUUCUCAGCACCAGGCAUGAAUCCCUCCUGUGAGUCAGGUCUCAAGUGUAAUCAGAAAGUAAUUGGUUGCUUGCCCAGUAGUCACGCUACUGUUGUAGAAAUGGGUACAUCUUGCCUGGCAGGUCAAUAACAUAGUAUACAGGUGUUGCGUGAAGUUUUAAGCUCUGGACCCAGCCAUGCUACCAGCCCCCACCCAGUGUACUAAUUGUUCUGUGCAUCUUUAACUCUAGGAGGUGAGCGCACUACCAGCAGUCCUCCCAGCUUCCCUUGAAUCCUCCAAUAAAAGACACACACAGUUUGUUCUUUUACAGUUUGCCUUCUUGGGACAACUGUUGGGCGUUACUAUCGCCCGCCUGGAAAAGUAUAUAUACCCUUGCCAAUUUAUUAUCUCUGUCUCUCCACCUGCCCUAAACUUCAGUGGCAAGUCCCACCUAGCCCCUAUAGUAGAGGACAGAUACCCCAGUUUCCCCCACAAAACCUCACAUAAUUGCUGAGUUCUUCCUCCACAGCAUGGCAGAAACCUUCCUCCCUCUCCUUCCUUGUGUCUACCAUUUCCUUUUGGGACCUGUAAGUGCUGACUGUACGUUCCACCCAGCAAUUGGCCCCAGGCUUUCUUUACUGACAAAUCAAGAACCAAUUGGGGAGCAGGACCUUAGCACUAGAACCACUCCCAUCAUACAGGAGUCAUAGUUCUGCAAGAUUUUUUUUUAUUACAUUUCUCCUCCAGAGCAGGCUGAAUAGCAACUUUCUGGACUAUGGAAGCAGGGGCUGGGGGGUUGGAGGUGAUGGUGGGCUACAGAUCAAUGGGAAGGAUCUGAAGUGAAGAUUAGAAAUUUCUGAUCAACCAGCCACUUCAGGUAGAGCCAGCAUUGCACAUUUUAUAGUGCUCCCAGGAUGAUUGCAAUGGAUAACCAGAUGGGGAGAGCCACGGAUAGAAAGUUCCAGAUAUAAACACUAGGUUGUGGCUACAUGGACCACAUCUCUCUAGUCUCCCCAUCUGGAUAACAUUAAAUAUCCAGUGACCAUCUGGUUAGAUCAUCCCCGGACUUAUACCAUUCUUUAGAUGGCUCAGAUCUCAAUGUCUAAUGUCAUUGCAGCCUCUGAUCCUAAUCAUCCUUCUGAUGUUGGUUUGCCUUGCCACCCUUUUCUUCCCCUUCAGUAACAGCUUUGGAAGAUACACCUUGAGAUGCCCCACUACAGGCGAAAGGAUCCUGCACCACUGGAUCGUGGAUGGAGUGGAGUUCCAGACACAUAUCAGCACUCCCCGGACAAGAAAUAAACAAAUGCAAAAGCGCUUGAUCCCCUAAAAGAAACAGCACACCGGGAAGAGAACCAACUCCAAUUAGAGGACAGCAGCUUCUGUCAGCCGGCCACCAGCAGCUGCAGCUCAAAGUUGGAAAAACGCUGAAAUUAUACAUCCAAGAAUAAUGUCUGGCACUUUAUCAUGUGUAACAAUAUACUAUGCGGCCCCCUUUUAAACUGUAGAGUAGUAGCUAAUGGGAAGAACUUGAAGUAUGAUUAAAACUCCAGGUGAUUACAGUGCGAUACAAUUCUGCAACUGUUUUAGUUAGGAUGAAGACCCACAGGAGAGUUUCUAUAUGUACUCGCCACAGUGGGCACCCCAGGGUGUUGAUAUUGGGGCAACUCUGAAUGAAAGGGCAUGUACUGUUUUGUUAAUCAUCUGGGGGGAACGUUGUUUUAAAAAUUCAUCUUUAGGAGAAAAGAAUCAACACGGAGAUCUAUUACCUGGGAGGUUUCUGACACUCUUCUAGACACAAUGUCUACUAUUGUGCUUGUGUUCCGUACCUAGCCACCAGUUCCUCAAUUAAACAAAAUCAGCCUUGAGCUUAUCUGAGCUUGUCUUAUCUGAGUCCUUGUGAGGUCUUAAGAUAUUAUCCUUGAUUCUUAGACAGCAGGCUGAACAUUCUCAGUCUGCUGCUCAUAACUGUGUUAGAGAACAGAAAAGACUCCGGUUUAGGGACAUAGCCGUGCAGGAAGCAAGUUGUAGCAGACAAUGGAAACUAUCUUGUAAUCUCAGCUGUGAAAAGAACUCGAGUAAUUAAGAAAACGUUUUGUUCCCCAAGGUCUGGCUCCCCUGUUUGUUCGCUGGAAUGACUUGGCGUUUCUGGAGUUCACAACAGGCCAGAGACUGGUUCGUUAGCACUAAUCUGAUUAAGACUUGUGUUUCUUUGUUCUGUGUGUCCUCAGGUGGCAAUUUUGGCUGAACAUCUCACAUUUUUGCCUUGUGCCUAGGUACAGAAACAUAGCUUCGCCUGUGCGUUACGUAAGAAGGUCACAGAUCUCAGGCCUCGGUCUGCAGUGCUGAGCGCUUUUCUUUCCAAACUACCUUCACAUGUGAAUUUUACUGACCCUCAGGCCAUAGCACUGCAGAGCACUUAGGUACAAGCAGAGGCCGGCAUUGUCCCAGAGAAACUGACAGGGGGACAAACCAUUCCUUUUAAACUCCAUAGAAAAGUUUUCCCAAGUGUAUGUACAAAAUUAGUGUAUAAAUUUAAAUACUGCAAAUUGAAAUAAUGUAUUAAGAUAUGUGUAUACAGUUAAAUAGCUAGAAAUAAAUUUAUGAAAACUUUCUCUAAA
rnacentral:sRNA from 1 species